rnacentral:rRNA from 1 species
GGGGAGCGAACCGGAUUAGAUACCCGGGUAGUCCCGGCUGUAAACGAUGCGGGCUAGGUGUUGGGCGGGCUUUGAGCCCGCCCAGUGCCGCAGGGAAGCCGUUAAGCCCGCCGCCUGGGGAGUACGGCCGCAAGGCUGAAACUUAAAGGAAUUGGCGGGGGAGCACCACAAGGGGUGGAGCCUGCGGCUUAAUUGGAGUCAACGCCGGGAAUCUUACCGGGGGCGACAGCAGGAUGACGGCCAGGCUAACGACCUUGCCCGACACGCUGAGAGGAGGUGCAUGGCCGUCGCCAGCUCGUGCCGUGAGGCGUCCGGUUAAGUCCGGCAACGAGCGAGAUCCCCACCCCCAGUUGCUAUCCCGGUCUCCGGAUCGGGAGCACACUGGGGAGACUGCCGCCGAUAAGGCGGAGGAAGGAGGGGGCCACGGCAGGUCAGCAUGCCCCGAAUCCCCCGGGCUGCACGCGGGCUACAAUGGCGGGGACAGCGGGUGCCGACCCCGAAAGGGGGAGGUAAUCCCUGAAACCCCGCUGUGGUUGGGAUCGAGGGCUGAAAUUCGCCCUCGUGAACGUGGAAUCCCUAGUAACCGCGCGUCAACAUCGCGCGGUGAUACGUCCUGCU